UUGGAUGUGGUGUAAUGGUAGCACGGCUGCUUGUGGCGCAGUGAGCAUGGGUUCGAUCCCCAUCAUCCGAC
rnacentral:tRNA from 1 species